rnacentral:tRNA from 1 species
GCUCCUCUAGUUUAUUCAAAAUAAGGGCUUUUCAAGCCCUAGAACUAAGUGAAAACCUUAGAAGAAGCA